ACUAUUAUGACACUCCUUUACUAUUUUUAGGCUGCACAUUUGAGAAAGCACAAUGUUCUUUCCCCUCUAAGAUGAACACUUUCAAGUAUGAUUCUUCUCCUUCAAGGCCAUAGAAACACAUAUAACUUGAGAAAAUACUAGGAUUGUCAAUGAGAAAAUACCUUUGGGGUCUGUGUCAUGCUCGAUGUCGUCAACGAUGCAAGCCCACGACUGAGGGAGAGGAGCUGAGAGAGCUUGCGGAUGGACAUUGGCCAAAAGGGGGCACGAGAGAGAGAGAGAGAGGAGCUGAGGGAGAUGAGCUACGCAGUAGUUGGAACCCUAGCAUGAAGAAAUAAUGGGAGAAGGGGAGAAGAAGGUCAUGAUGAUGUUACAGCCCGUUAAUGAGCCGUCCUAUGGUAGGACUACUCAUUUAGUCG
rnacentral:lncRNA from 1 species